UGGGGAAUAUUGCACAAUGGGCGCAAGCCUGAUGCAGCAACGCCGCGUGAGGGACGACGGCCUUCGGGUUGUAAACCUCUUUUAGUAGGGAAGAAGCGAAAGUGACGGUACCUGCAGAAAAAGCACCGGCUAACUACGUGCCAGCAGCCGCGGUAAUACGUAGGGUGCGAGCGUUGUCCGGAAUUAUUGGGCGUAAAGAGCUCGUAGGCGGUCUGUCGCGUCUGCUGUGAAAACCCGAGGCUCAACCUCGGGCCUGCAGUGGGUACGGGCAGACUAGAGUGCGGUAGGGGAGAAUGGAAUUCCUGGUGUAGCGGUGGAAUGCGCAGAUAUCAGGAGGAACACCGAUGGCGAAGGCAGUUCUCUGGGCCGUAACUGACGCUGAGGAGCGAAAGCGUGGGGAGCGAACAGGAUUAGAUACCCUGGUAGUCCACGCCGUAAACGUUGGGCGCUAGAUGUGGGGACCAUUCCACGGUUUCCGUGUCGCAGCUAACGCAUUAAGCGCCCCGCCUGGGGAGUACGGCCGCAAGGCUAAAACUUGAAAGGAAUU
rnacentral:rRNA from 1 species